rnacentral:rRNA from 1 species
UACGUAGGGACCAAGCGUUGUUCGGAUUUACUGGGCGUAAAGGGCGCGUAGGCGGCAAUUCAAGUCAGUUGUGAAAUCUCCGAGCUUAACUCGGAACGGUCAACUGAUACUGCUUUGCUAGAGUACAGAAGGGGCAAUCGGAAUUCUUGGUGUAGCGGUGAAAUGCGUAGAUAUCAAGAGGAACACCUGAGGUGAAGACGGGUUGCUGGGCUGAUACUGACGCUGAGGCACGAAAGCGUGGGGAGCAAACAGG